rnacentral:lncRNA from 1 species
AUGGAUGGGAUGAAGUAUAAAACCAUAUUGCUGAAGAACAAGACCACAAAGGGACCAUACUUCUGGGCUGUCCUGGGAAUCUGUAGAGCCUUCAGGGAGGAACAGGAAAGAGCAGCAGCUUGGUGUAUUCUUCAGCUGAUGAACAUCUGCUGCUGGAGAGAGAAUCUUGAACGUAUGCCACCCACCAAGCUCAGAAUUAAACCGAGCAGGAUUCUAAAGAAUGAAUGUUUGCAUAAGGAGUCUGUUCAGGAUAGCAAUCUGCCUUCACAUUUACACCAUUCUUCAAAGUCAUUUAACUUCCCUGUGCAAACAUGACCUUAGAACAUCACCUACAAAUGAGUAGCAUUACUUUUUUGCAAGGUACAUGAAGUUCUUUGAUACUC